CUCACACCCCCACGGCCCACGCACACCCGGCCUCGCCUCUCCGCUCCAUCCCCUCCCGUACUCCUGGGAGCAUCGCCGCCGCCAACGCAGCGGCUUGGAGAAGCCAUUAGCCAUGGCGGCUCAUGCGACGAUCUCCUUCUCCUACUACUACAAAAUAACCAAGUGACAGUGUGACGCCACGCGCAGAGCGACCAUGGCCCUGCGUGGUGCUACUGCCGUAGAUCUGCCCCACUGCACAUUCAGUCCCUCAGCACUCCACAUCCACGUUCUGCUUCGCCGUCUCAUCAGCUGCUAGGUUUUGGCUGCCGCCAUGGCGACGACGAGGGCCCUGAGAAGACCCCGUCCAUCCCCGUUCCUCGCGCUCCUCCGCCCUACCCGCUCCAACUCUACGUCGCCCUUCCCGCCCCUCGCGAUCCAAUCGAGAGGGUUGGAUAGGGCGUAAUAGGCAUCGUCAUGUGCGUCACAGGUGCCAGUGCCUUUAUCGGAUCAUGGAUCGUCAAUUUUCAAUCGUGGGUACAGUGUCCGCGGCAACUCCGGCGUAGGAAAACCUUCACUUUUAGAUAUGCCAAUUUCAAUCUCACGGAUCCUCUUCAGCCCCUAUGGAGAUUUUUCUAUGAAGACCAAAUGAGUUUAUUUUGAGCAUGCGUUAUAAGCUUGCAGUCCUCUCAAAAUCAUACAAUAGCAACACUCUAGAAACAGGUUGGAAAUUGUUGCCUAAAUCUAUUAUUUGGCGGAAGAUUCAAUUAAUAUGUUUGAGAGGUAAUGUUUAUUGAUUUGGUGUUCACUUUGGCAGUUGGCAUCUAUAGUGUUCAUCUUUAAAAAAAGAUUGUCUAAAUGGUUGUUGGAUUUUUCUCACAUGUUGUUUGAUUAGUCUUAUCAUACUCCUUGAUAAUUAAAUUUAGUUUCUUCUAUGAGAAGCUAUUACAGCUUGGGGUCCAGCCCUAAAUAGCAUAUGUAUCACUUUCUUUUGGUAUGAGAAAUAAUCAUUAAGGGAACAAAAGGUACACAUUGUUUUGGUCUAAAAAUUACUGACAUGAACACAUUUUAUCAUUGGUUAUGGUCUAACAUUGCAAAAUUAAGUAGGCUUCAUUUGCUUUGACAAAAAUGAAAUUGCCAAAUCCUAAAUAAUGGCAAUAAUAGGAACAUUUAGUUUAUGUUAUAAUAGGAUGUCCUGUGGGUGGAUCUCUGCAAGUUCUAUGUCAUUUAGUAGGAAAAUGAUUUUUCAUAUGUAGGAGCCUUUCAAUUUGGACAUUAUAUCGAGCUUCCAUCGCUAGCUAGCAAGAGCAAAAGGGGAAAAUUAAAAUCAUCAAUGGUGUGUGAUCAGACCCUUGAUUCUCAGGUACUGUUUAGUUUGUUGUUCAUGUCCAAAACACCAUACUUGAAUAUUUGAACUAAUUUGAAACUUUGAACCUCUUUCAUAAAUAGUUAGGAUCAUGAUCAUAGCACUAAUUCUGUUCUGAAAUUCUCUACUACAAUAGAAAUAUUGUGUAAAAAUCAGAAUUCUUGCCACAACUUGUGGAAUUAAGGAAGAAAGGAUGGUAGGCAUCCUCUUGCCUUUAAUUUGUUGGGUGUCAGUUUGAUCUAUGAAUGUUCAAUCCAUGGGGGAAAAUAAAUGUCUUUAGUUAUCUCAAUUAACUGUAGCUAUUUGUUGCUGCUUCUCAGUGCCUGCAGUUGUCCAUUGAGUAAACUUUUUAAGAUAACAAAAGGGGCUCAGUGUACCACUUAUCUUAGGCUGACACAUUCAAUUGGUUUUUCAUCUUGACUUGAGUUGUAGUUUAAAAAAAUAUGUGAUCUGUAUAUAGCUACAGUUCAGUAAACAAUUAAAGAAUGUCCAUUGAGUAAACUUUUUAAGAUAACAAAAGGGGCUCAGUGUACCACUUAUCUUAGGCUGACACAUUCAAUUGGUUUUUCAUCUUGACUUGAGUUGUAGUUUAAAAAAAUAUGUGAUCUGUAUAUAGCUACAGUUCAGUAAACAAUUAAAGAAUAAAUUUAUUUAGUAAUAAUAGGUAUAUAGCUAUAAUUAAAGAAUAAAUAUAUAUAGCUUCAGGGGCCUGCAACAGUCAGCACCUUCACUGAAAUAGGAAAGCUGGCAGAUGUUUUACAUAUGAGAUGGACAUGCUCCCUUUCUCUUGAUGCAGCAAGAUUUAAUGGCACAAUAUGAAAACUUACUAUUUCAAAAUAUGCAGUUCCACUAUCGUCUCUGCACCCUGCUUAUCUGCUCCUAUUUAUUGAUUAUUCAAAAUGAAGGUGUUUGUUGAUUAGCCAUGUAAAUUUAUUAUUUUAUAAAUACUAUACAGAUUAUUGUGGCCACAUUGAAAGUUGUCGAAUCUCUCUAGAUCAUAUAUUAUUGUUGAACUAUUUUCCUAUAUCUGAUCAUGUCAUCUUUAGUUUAGACAAGGGAAUAGUUGGUUUAGCAUGAACUAUGAUUAUUUUAGUAGAUGAAUGACUCAAGAAGUGGGCUCUCUUCCCUAGGAAGGGUUUGGCAAGGCAAGCUACCUCCAGAACAUUCAGAUCCAAGUGCCACCGUUGUCAUCAGCUCUUCACUGCCUUGCACCCUUGCCUCUUCUGUAGACAGACCCAAUGCCAUGAUAUACACCGGUUCCUGCUCCUUUGCUGUAAAGCCACCAUAACAGACGCCUCCUACGCCUCCCAGAGACAAACCCAUCCCAGCACCUAUGCACUUCCAAGGUCAGCUUGCUCUUAUAUCCAAUAAUACACUGCCUGCUGGGAAUGGGAGUUUAGGAAGAAGAUUUCUUGGCAAAUUAUCUAUAUUAUUCUACAUUGAUUAAUUGUGGUUAUAUUGCUAAUUUGAUUUCUCUACUCUUUCUGUUCAGACCAUAGCCAGUUCGAGAAGAGGAGGGAAAAUUUUGCCAAAGAGAAUGGUAUUGUUAUAGUUGAUUUUGAACACCCAUCUAUCUGUGCCGAUCUAUAUCCUCCAGCUUGCUUCAUUAUGCCUUUGUUUUGAUAGUAGUUCUCAAUUGAUGGCUUUAGCUUGUUAGUUGGGAAAAACAAUCUGCAGUUCUGCACUGUCAUUUCAGCAAAAACUAUAUAAAGUUUGGAACUGUCAUCAAUGGCUUUGUCUUUUGAAUUGAGAAGGAGCUGCUGAUCAAAUUAACCAUGAGUAAAAGUUUUUCUACAGAAGAUUAGCUACCAAGCCGGACUAUACCCAUCUCAGUGAUGUUUAUGAAUGAUGGUAAGAUCUAUGAUGUUGGACAACUUGCCCCUCCGUUGUGUGAAGAUAAAGCUUUGCUGAAAUGGGGCUGAAGUGAGAGACAAAUAAUAUUUUUUUACUUAUUACUAUAUUUGCUUCACAAGGCAAGAAGUGGGUAUGGUUGCCACUGGAUCGCUCAGAGUAAAUUCCAUUAGAAGUAAGGUUAUAGUAAUGAAAUGAAACUAUAAAUGGGAGUUGUUCAUCUGCCUCAUGACUCAUUUUGAUCUCAAACAAGUGACCUCAUUUUAAUCUGAGACAAGUACUUGUCUGUUAGUAGUAGAUAGUCAGUAGUAGAUAUAUGAUGUUAAUGUAUUGGAUCCCUGAAGAGCCCUAAUUGUCCGUUGCAAGUGCUUAUCGCCUUGAAGUUGGACACUCGUAUAUUUUGAUAAAUUGAUGUUGUCUUUUCAUGAUUUAUUGAUGAGUAUGUAAACAAGAUGCUCAUAGAUUAGCCAAACAGGCUCGACAAUUUGAUUCUGAGUGUUGUA